rnacentral:rRNA from 1 species
ACGAAGCUUGACGGAUGAUUUCUUCGGAAUGAAACCAGAUAUGACUUAGUGGCGGACGGGUGAGUAACACGUGAGCAACCUGCCUUUCAGAGGGGGAUAACGGCUGGAAACGGUCGCUAAUACCGCAUGACGUGUUCGGAUGGCAUCAUCUGAACAUCAAAGAUUUAUCGCUGAAAGAUGGGCUCGCGUCUGAUUAGAUAGUUGGUGGGGUAACGGCCUACCAAGUCGACGAUCAGUAGCCGGACUGAGAGGUUGAACGGCCACAUUGGGACUGAGAUACGGCCCAGACUCCUACGGGAGGCAGCAGUGGGGAAUAUUGCACAAUGGGGGAAACCCUGAUGCAGCAACGCCGCGUGAAGGAUGACGGUUUUCGGAUUGUAAACUUCUUUUCUUAGUGACGAAGACAGUGACGGUAGCUAAGGAAUAAGCAUC